rnacentral:lncRNA from 1 species
CCACCGUGGCUGCCAUCCCUCGGGUGCGGCGAUCUCGACUCGGCCUCUGAACCUGGGUGGUGGCAGGUCGAGGAAAGCACACAGUGCCGCCAAAGGGGCACUGAACAACUGGUCGUUGUCCGUGGAGGGGUACUAAACUCUGGUGAACGGCGGGACGUUGCCAAAAGGUGUUGGGCUUCCCAUCUAUAGAAAAUAAAGAUGGAGAUAAGGGAGUAUCAGUGACAUGAUCAAAUGGUCGAAUGUAAGUAAAAAUAAAAUAA